rnacentral:rRNA from 1 species
GAUGAACGCUAGCGGUAGGCUUAACACAUGCAAGUCGAGCGGCAGCAUGGUCUUAUCUUGCUAAGGCUGAUGGCGACCGGCGCACGGGUGCGUAACGCGUAUGCAACUUGCCUCACAGAGGGGGUUAACCCGCCGAAAGACGGACCAAUACCGCGCACACUCUACGUUGGGCAUCCUAGGUAGAGGAAAUGAAUUUGGCUGUGCGAUAGGCAUGCGUGCCAUUAGCUAGUGGGUGAGGUAACGGCGCACCAAGCCGACGAUAGGUAGGCGAAGUGGGAGGGUGAGCCCCAGCACUGGUACGGAGACAAGGGGCAGACGCCUACGGGAGGCAGCAGUGGGGAAGAUGGGGCAAUGGACGUGAGCCUGAACCAGCAAGGUCGCGUGAAGGAUGGCGGGCUUGUGGAGUGUAAACUUCUUUUGUACGGGAAUAACGAGAGUCACGUGGGGCUCCCUGCAGGUACCGGAUGAGUAAGCAUCGGUGACUUCCGG